UACGUAGGGUGCAAGCGUUAAUCGGAAUUACUGGGCGUAAAGCGUGCGCAGGCGGUUUUGUAAGUCAGAUGUGAAAUGCCCGGGCUUAACCUGGGAACUGCAUUUGUGACUGCAUGGCUAGAGUUUGGCAGAGGGGGGUAGAAUUCCACGUGUAGCAGUGAAAUGCGUAGAUAUCGAGAGGAACACCAGUGGCGAAGGCGAGUCUCUGGACGACUCCUGACACUGAGGCACGAAAGCCAGGGGAGCAAACAGG
rnacentral:rRNA from 1 species